GCCUGCAAAUUUUCUGAACUUUUAUGCUCAGCUUCCUCUUGAAUGCUUUGCUGCUUAGACAUUUCUUCUGCCAGAUACCCUAAAUCAUCUCUCUCAAGUUCAACUUCCAUAGAUCUCCAAGACAGGAGCAAAAUCUUGCCUGUCUCUUUGCUAAAGCAUAAAUAAGAGUCACCUUUGCUCCAGUUCCCAACAAGUUCCUCAUCUCCAUCUGAGAUCACCCAAGCCUGGACUUUAUUGUCCAUAUCACUAUCAACAUUUUGGUCAAAGCCAUUCAACAAGUCCCUAGGAAGUUCUAAACUUUCCUAUAUUUUUCUAUCUUCUUCUGAGCCCUCCAAACAGUUCCAACCUCUGCCUGUUACCUAGUUCCAAAGUCACUUCCACUUUUUCAGGUAUCCUCAUAGCAGCACCCCACUCUACCAGUACCAAUUUACUAUAUUUGUCCAUUCUCGUGCUGCUAAUAAAGAUAUACCAAGACUGGGUAAUUUAUAAAGGAAAGAAGUUUAAUUGACUCACAGUUCUGCAUGGCUGGAGAGGGCUCAGUAAACUUAUACUCACAGCAGAAAAGGAAGCAAACAUGUCCUUCUUCACAUGGUGGCAGCAAAAAGAAGUGCAGAGCAAAAGGGGAAAAGCCCCUUAUAAAACCAUCAGGUCUCUUGAGAACUCACUCACUUUCACAAGAACAUGAUGGGGGAAAGUGCCUCCAUGAUUCAAUUAUCUCUACCUGGUCUCUCCCCCCAACACAUGGGGAUUAUAGAAACUACAGUUCAAGAUGAGAUUUGGGUGGAAACACAGCCUAACCAUAUCAAGUACAUAUUGUAUAAUUUCAUUUGCAUAAAGAUAAAAAACAGUUACAGCUCAUUCGAAUAAUAGAAGUUUCAAUAAUCACUACAUUUGGGCAUGCUAGAAAUGUUCCAUAUCUUGAUCUAAUGGGGGUGACAUUUGGAAAAUAAAUGUACAAUUUAUGAAAGAGGCCAAUUAAGUUAUAAUUUACAACUAAAGACAAACAAAGGUCAAUGAUUGUGCAAAAAAAAAUGUUAACAUAACAUGCAGGUCUAACUGCUAUUAUUCAAAAACCUGUGUACAAAAUUGGCUAAAAUCUUGGAACUUACAUUUAGGAGUGUUCUCAUAAGUCCCAGAAAUGAAGAGUGGCUUACUGGAACUAAAUUGUUUAUACAACAUGGUUUAUGGAGAAUAUCUGCUUUCCUUCUGGAAGUCUAGAAUUUCAGUACUUGCUAGACAGAGGCUGCCUAUAUGACCAGUUCCCAGUAAAAAUCCUGGGUGCUGAAACUUUAAUUAGCUUCCUUGGUAGACAAUAUUUCCCUAUAAUAAAUUACAAUCAUGAACUACAUGUAUGCUACACAUAUAUUGAGUCCUAUGAGUCUUCCUAGUGACCUGAGAGUAGUUGGGUAAUGGGAUGAUGCCAGUAAAUUAAUUUCUGUUGUAUUUUUUAUGUGGUUGGAUUUUAAUAUUUUAAAAAUGUAAUAACUCUCUCUCCUUUCUAUUUGGAUUUCACUUACCUUCCCUUGGAAAAUAAUAACCCGAGUUUGGUGAGAGGAUGUCUAAUAUAGAGGGCACUCCAGGAGUGGGCCUAGCAGCCUUAGCUGGAUGAGGGGGUCCCAUGGAAGAGGAUUGCCUAACACAUGAUUCUGAACUUCAUCCUUACAGACCCGCGAAUGUGUUUCUCAACGACCUGGGGACCAUAUCCGAAAUGUCAUCAUCAAUGGAGAUGGCACCUACCUACCUCUCAGUUUCUGUGGGAGGGUAGCAGCCUAACUUUGCUGAGCAUUUGCACAUUGCCUGGAGGAUAUGGAGAGAGAGAGACCUGGAAGCUGAAGGAACAGAUAUCCAUUAUUAUUUAUGAAGAAAAUCCCAAGAAAUUCACAAAAGAAAAAUAAACUCUCCUAGAACUAAGAAGGUCUUCGUGGACAAUAUGUCCAUGCAGCUGUGUCAUCUCCUAUAAUAACACCACCUCCUGCUGGAAUACCUCCUGAAGAACCUGCUUGAGGCUGUUUAAAAUGGUUAACUUUUUUUAUUUUUAAUAUAUAUGUAGAAGCAGACUCUAAAAUAAUGACAAAAGUAUGGUGUAGUAAAUGCAUAAACCAGAAACAUGGUCAUUUAUUAUCAGUAUUAAGUAUUAUGUACUGUAUAAAAUUGUACUGCUAUACUUUUAUACUACUACUAACACAGUAGGUUUGUUUACACCAGCAUCACCACAAACACAUAAGUAAUGCAUUGGGCUAGGACAUUAAGAUAGCUUGUCACCUAUUCUAUCAAUAUGUGAUAAAAAUUUUUCAGUUCCAUUUUAAUCUUAUGGAACCACUGCUGUCUAUGCGGCCUGUCGUUGACCCAAAUGUCAUUAUGUAGUGCAUAACUGUACUAAUACUAAGAAAAACUGAGUGUUUGUAUUUUAGAGUUAAGCACUGAUACGUUUACAAAUAAAAUAAUAUCUGACGUUUGUUUCAAAGGAAUCUGGAUAAGAGGAUAUGGUAAGAACAUAUAUGAAGUAAGAUUGACCAUGGGUUAAUAAUGUUUGAAGCUAAGUGGUAAAUAAUCUUUGUCCCAACCUUUGUGCAUAGUGGUUCUCAAAGAUGAUCCCUGCACUGGCAGCAACAGGAUCAUUUGAGAUCUUGUUUGAAAAGCAAACUCUGAGGAAACCACAUAUUUUGUAACCAAAACUCUGCACAUGAGGCCCAUUAGCCUGUGGUUUCACAAGCCCUUUAGGUAAUUUUGAUCCAAGCUAAUGUUUCUGAAUCACUGCUCCAGUAUAAAUAACAUAGAAUAUUGCAUGUAUUUGUAGAGACAUGACAUUUGUAUAUUUUUAAGUUAUCCAUAAUACAACGAAAAAUAAUGAAAACACCCAGGACAAAUGUUUCACUGGAAAAAUUUGAAUAAAGUUUGCAGACAUAAUUCUAAUCUUAAACACUUCCAAAAGACAGAAAAGGAUCUAUUCCCCAACCCAGUCUGAGAGUAGAAAAUCUUAGCCCUGGAAGUGAACAAAGAGUAUGAAAGAACUAUUAAAGCCAGUCUCACUUAUGAACAAAAGAUCCAGUAAUCUUAAGAAGUUAAGUAAAUCUAGCAUUAUGUAAAAAUAAUAAAAAUACAUCAGAACGAAGUUGUAUUUAUCCUAGAAAAUGAAAGUUGAUUUAACAUUAGAAACACUUUAAAAAGCAGGGAGGAUUAAAGGAGUUUGUUUAUUCUUAAUAUAUUCUGUUUGUUUAUUUCAGUGUUUUUAUAUGAGUAUCCUUAAAUUUUUAAACUGUGUUAAGAUGCAUGCUUAUACUUGUUUUACUUUUCUGACUGGAAGAUAAACCUAAAUAAAGGUUGUGAAAAAGAUCUUUAAAUAUUACAUUUAUUCUUGAAAUUCUUGUUAACUUUUAUAAUUGAUAGUUGAUAAACAAUUAGGAAGCAUAAGGCACAAUUCUAAUAAUUCUGCAACUUCCCCCUAGAUAUUCUUGAAAUGCUUAUAUCCAUUGGAAUCUGACAUUUAAAAAGUUCAAGAUUUUCAAUAAUUUAAUACACAAACGCUUAAAAGAGUAAAUAUAGUUGUGAUUAAGAGAAGUUUGGCAUUUAAAAAUCAUAGCAAACUGAAACUUUUCAUCUUUUCAUUUGUAACACAAAAUAUUAACUUAAAUGAUUUGAUUUUUCUUUUUCUUUUUCUUUUUUCUUUCUUUCUUUUUUUUCUUUUUCUUUUUUUCUUUUUUUUUCUGGGAUUACAGGCACAUGCCAUCACGCCUAGCUAAUUUUUGUAUUUUUAGUACAGACGGGAUUUCACCAUGUUGGCCGGGAUGGUCUCGAUCUCCUAACUCGUGAUCCUCCCGCCCCCGCCGGCCUUGCCUGGGUUUACAGGCGUGAGCCAUCUUGCCCGGCUGGUUUGAUUUUUCAAUAAAAAUGCAAUAAUUAUAAAUAAGGAAUAAAAAGAGUGUCUGUAUUAUAAAAUAUAAUAACUUUUAUUUUGCCUUUCGAUAUCCCUUUGGUUUCAAAACCAAAUGUAAUAUAAACUGUCAAUUUAAAAUUGAUUUAUUAACAAAUUAUUAUUUCCUUAUGUAAACAUUUAAUUAUUACACAUCUCUGUUAUUAAAUGGAAAAAGUUGAAGAUUGUAUGAAUAUUAUAGUUUAUGCAUGUUAUACAAUUAAAUACAUUAUAUAUAGUUUAAUAAAAUGGUAACCCCAAAUUUUAGAAAUAU
rnacentral:lncRNA from 1 species